GUUCGGCACCUUCAAGAAUGAGAUCACAUCUGCCGACCCGAGAGAAAUCAUCACCAAAAGCCAAGAUCCACAUCGCCGUUUCCUGCAUCUACCCGAACAAAGCCAACCUGACUCUGGGGUUCCGGCACAAGAACCCGUACGCCUUCAGCGAGUGGCUUCGGCAGCUUCAGCUUCCAGUUCGAGUUCUUCCAGAGCCAGCUCUUCAGACGGCAGGUGGAGGGCAGCAGCUACCCGGUGGAGGUGUCCCUCAAGCAGAUGGUCUACAUGCAGAUCCAGGCCUCCUCCUCCAUCCCCGACACCCAACUGUUCGUGGAGUCCUGCAGGGCCACGCCCUACGACAACCCCGAGUCCCGCGUCAGCUACACCAUCAUGGAGGACGGGUGCGUGAGGGAUCCCACCGUGCAGGUCUACCCCGGACCCGGGUCCGUCUUCCAGUUCGGGAUGGAGGCUUUUGAGUUCAUCGGCGCUCACGAUGAGGUCUACAUCACCUGCUCGGUACUCCUGUGCCAGAGCGGCAUGCCGAACACCCGCUGCUCUCAGGGAUGCCUGGAACCAGGAAGUGGUCGCAGCAGGAGGGAGGCCGGGGCUCAGACCAACAGCCACUUCAUUUCCCAGGGUCCUUUGCGCCUGAGGGCUCCUCACAGCGAAGGCUCCAUCCCGACCCUGAACCUGGUCUCCAUGCUGGUCCUGUUUGCCGGCGGCCUCCUGGCAUGCGGGCGGGGUUCUUCAGAUCCAGAAGGACCCCGAUCAAGUACCACCUACUGGUCAUCUCCGAGACCGACCAGCCAGAACAUUAGGACCACGGGCCCGAUCUGCCCGGACUCCUGCCGCCCCCUGCAGGUGGUCUCCUGUGGUACCAGACCAGGCGGUCCUUCAGGGACCAGACUGUCUCUUCUGCACAUCCCACAAAUGCUCCAGCUGGACUCCAAGCUGGUUCUCCUGGUCCUCAGAGAACUCUUGAAUUAUUUAUUAGUUAUUUAUGAGAUUCCAGGAUCUUUGUGGUUUUUAAUCCACUCAUCUCGUCAGCUGUUCAGACCUUCCAGUGUUUUUUGUGGUUGUUGUAUUUAUUGUUGUGUCGCUCUGGUGUGUAAUGUUCCCACUUCCCACUGGGAAGUUCCCAGAAAACGAUUUCAAAUGUGAUUAAGUGUUGUUUAUGCUGUGAGUCGACAUUCAGGAUGUCUACACUGCAAAAAAAAUUUACUGAAUUGUGGUAUCACACAUCCUUCAGUCAUCUUGCAAUGACUGGAGCUUUUAGCCAGGGGGUUGUGUCAUCAGAUGGUUACCAACGAUCCUCAAGUGUUUCGACCCUGAACCAUAACACUCUCCUGUUGGCGGGUCAGCAGUGGUGGCCAGCCACUACUCACUUCCCCCUGGCUGCCAGCUCAGUUCCUCUCCUGGACCUCACCUCUGCCUUUGAUACAGUGGACCACAAGAUCUUGCUUUCUCGCCUCGAAAACCUGGGCAUCAAAGGUACAGUCCUGGAGUUUUUUCCAUUCCUACUUGUCUGGUAGGACCUUCUCUGUUCAACUGGGAGACUUCACCUCUUCUGCAGCCCCCCUCUCCUGUGGGGUGCCACAAGGUUCCAUCCUAGGCCCUAUUUUAUUUAUCCUGUAUAUUCUGCCCUUAGAAGAUAUCAUA
rnacentral:lncRNA from 1 species